rnacentral:rRNA from 1 species
UACGUAGGGGGCGAGCGUUGUCCGGAUUUACUGGGCGUAAAGAGCGCGCAGGCGGCUGGUCAAGUCCGAUGUGAAAGCUCCCGGCUUAACUGGGAAAUUGCAUCGGAAACUGAUCGGCUGGAAGGUGGGAGAGGGUAGCGGAAUUCCCGGUGUAGUGGUGAAAUGCGUGGAUAUCGGGAGGAACACCAGCGGCGAAAGCGGCUACCUGGCCCAUUCUUGACGCUGAGGCGCGAAAGCUAGGGGAGCAAACGGG